GGCUGGAAAAUGUGACUUCAGGGAAGCCCAGAGAAGACAGCAAUAAAGACCAGUUUGUUUUCUGACCAGUUUUGAGGGGAGAAAGGCUUAGGAAGUGUCUUAGCAGAUAAAUGAGAGAGAGUUCUGGAAGACAGUUUGAUGAUGGGACAGGCUCAAGCUCGCACCAAGAAACGCGAUGCUUCUUUAAUUUGUUGGAAUUCAGGGAAGUUUUACAGUAACCGCGAGGAAGCAAAGCCAAGGGGUUGUACGGAUUUGUGUAGGUCAGUGCUGAUGAAGCCUCGGACUGAGCAUGGCAGGAAAGCAGUGCAUGCUGGUCAGAAGGCGACAUUGGAUCCCCUGGAACUGGAGUUACAGACAAUUGUGAGCCACCAUGAGGGUUCUGGGAACCAAACCCUGGGGCGUCUACAAGAGCAACGGAUGCUUUUAACUGCUGAGCCAUCUCGCUGGACUCCCAAGCAGGUAGAGCAGGCUGCUGCGGCUCUUUUCAAUGGCAGCCUCCACAGUACACACAUGGCUAGCAGUGUGUCGCUAGCCCCGGAAGAAGUUCCGUUCCCAUUCACAGUGUCCUUCAGCACCUCAGCAUCCUGACCCCCAGGGUGAGGGCAGGACGUCACCGGUCAGAGUCCCCUGUGUCUAUUGACAAAGAGUCACCAUAGAUUUGAGCAAAUAUGGACAUUCUGGCAUUUCAAUGAUAACACCAAAAUGGACAGUCACUCGGGGAAACUUUCCAAGAUCCAGCCUGUGCUGGAUUAUUUCUUCCAUAAAUUUCGAACAAUAUACAAGCCAAAGCAACAGCUAUCUUUGGACGAGGGAAUGAGUCCAUGGAGAGGACGUUUAAAAUUUCCCACAUACAACCUAGUGGAAAUAACAAUUAUGGUUGACUUGUUUGGAUGGUGUGUGGGAGUGACGCCAGCUCUGUCUGUAAUAUGGAGAUAUACACUGCUGAAGGAAAGAUUGCAAGAAACUCUUCUUUCAGCCCUUGGACCCUGUCUUGGCAUAUGGCACCAUGUUUACCAGGAUAAUUAUUACAAUAUUAACUACAUCUACUGUUGAAUGGCUGCUACAAGAGCCAUACUAGAGUCUGUGGGCCUGUCAGGGAGAGUGGAGGUUUACCACCAAAUUUGAAAAUGAAAACAUGAAGAACGAAGAAAGGUGACAUAAUAUUGUCCAGAAAAGGUGAUGUUCUUCUUCUCCUAACAUGGAAAGACAAACAGGAUGUCCGAAUGAUAUCAACGUCUGUGACACUUCUGUCUCCACAACAGGAAAAAAAAAAAAGGAAAACGGGAGAGAAUAUUAUAAAACCGACCUGCAUUGAGGAAUACAAUGCCCACAUGGAAGGUGUUGACCAUGCGGAUCAGUUCCUCACAUGUUAUCCAUUCUAAGGAAAACAGUGAAAUGGACAAAAAAUAGUGCUGUCCUUUAUAAACUGUGGACUUUUCAACUCCUUUAGAGUCUACAACAUCCUCAAUCCACAAGCAAAACUGAAGUGUAAUCAGUUUCUGCUGUCAGUGGCCAGAGACUGGAUAAUGGAUGACAAUGAUGAAGACUUUCAGGAACCAGAGAGACAUCUGUCCAGUCCUUCCCCUGGGGGUGCAAGGAGAGAGCACCUCCGUAAAGAUCCACCCAAAAGGUGAUCAGGUGAUUUGAAGCAGCGUGAACCUACAUGUAUUCCAGCAAGUGGAAAGAGAAAAUUUCCUAUGAGAGCCUGAAGAGUUUGUGCUGCCCGUGGAAAAAGGAGCUCAUCUAGACACUUACGUAAAUUUGUUUGGUCCCUCUUCAUAGAGGAAAACAUUUUAUGAAGUACCAUAUGUUGAAAAAGGUACUAGGAACUUUAAUUGUUUAAUUAGUUUAAUUGUCUAAUUGUUUUUAUAAAUAAAAAUGUUAUAAUUACU